CAGCUGUUGUUGUGUGCUGCAUGCAACGCCUGAUUAAGUUCAUGGCCUCAGGCACCAACAGGCCGAAAACAGACAUACAUACCCGUGCCAACCCGCACCACCGGUGUUGGUGCUCACGGUCCAAAACAACUAGGAUUCGUAUCUAGUGGGCAACUCGUGAAGCGGUCUCUUUUGCCUGUCUGAUCCGCCGUUUCCGAGCCCGUUCC
rnacentral:lncRNA from 1 species